GCCUCUGUAGCUCAGUUGAUUAGAGGGUUGCACUGGAAUUGCAGGACCGCAGGUUCGAUCCUUGCCAGGGACC